rnacentral:rRNA from 1 species
GGCGCACGGGUGCGUAACGCGUAUGCAAUCUACCUUUCACAGAGGGAUAGCCCAGAGAAAUUUGGAUUAAUACCUCAUAGUAUAACAUGACCGCAUGGUCGAGUUAUUAAAGUCACAACGGUGAAAGAUGAGCAUGCGUCCCAUUAGCUAGUUGGUAAGGUAACGGCUUACCAAGGCAACGAUGGGUAGGGGUCCUGAGAGGGAGAUCCCCCACACUGGUACUGAGACACGGACCAGACUCCUACGGGAGGCAGCAGUGAGGAAUAUUGGACAAUGGGCGCAAGCCUGAUCCAGCCAUGCCGCGUGCAGGAUGACGGUCCUAUGGAUUGUAAACUGCUUUUAUACGAGAAGAAACACCUCUACGUGUAGAGACUUGACGGUAUCGUAAGAAUAAGGAUCGGCUAACUCCGUGCCAGCAGCCGCGGUAAUACGGAGGAUCCAAGCGUUAUCCGGAAUCAUUGGGUUUAAAGGGUCCGUAGGCGGUCAGAUAAGUCAGUGGUGAAAGCCCAUCGCUCAACGGUGGAACGGCCAUUGAUACUGUCUGACUUGAAUUAUUAGGAAGUAACUAGAAUAUGUAGUGUAGCGGUGAAAUGCUUAGAGAUUACAUGGAAUACCAAUUGCGAAGGCAGGUUACUACUAAUUGAUUGACGCUGAUGGACGAAAGCGUGGGUAGCGAACAGGAUUAGAUACCCUGGUAGUCCACGCCGUAAACGAUGGAUACUAGCUGUUGGGAGCAAUCUCAGUGGCUAAGCGAAAGUGAUAAGUAUCCCACCUGGGGAGUACGUUCGCAAGAAUGAAACUCAAAGGAAUUGACGGGGGCCCGCACAAGCGGUGGAGCAUGUGGUUUAAUUCGAUGAUACGCGAGGAACCUUACCAAGGCUUAAAUGUAGAUUGACCGGUUUGGAAACAGACUUUUCGCAAGACAAUUUACAAGGUGCUGCAUGGUUGUCGUCAGCUCGUGCCGUGAGGUGUCAGGUUAAGUCCUAUAACGAGCGCAACCCCUGUUGUUAGUUGCCAGCGAGUCAUGUCGGGAACUCUAACAAGACUGCCAGUGCAAACUGUGAGGAAGGUGGGGAUGACGUCAAAUCAUCACGGCCCUUACGCCUUGGGC